GAGUUUGAUCGUGGCUCAGAUUGAACGCUGGCGGCAUGCCUUACACAUGCAAGUCGAACGGCAGCAUGAUCUAGCUUGCUAGAUUGAUGGCGAGUGGCGAACGGGUGAGUAAUACAUCGGAACGUGCCCUGUAGUGGGGAUAACUAGUCGAAAGAUUAGCUAAUACCGCAUACGACCUGAGGGUGAAAGUGGGGGACCGCAAGGCCUCAUGCUAUAGGAGCGGCCGAUGUCUGAUUAGCUAGUUGGUGGGUAAAGGCCCACCAAGGCGACGAUCAGUAGCUGGUCUGAGAGGACGAUCAGCCACACUGGGACUGAGACACGGCCCAGACUCCUACGGGAGGCAGCAGUGGGAAUUUUGGACAAUGGGCGAAAGCCUGAUCCAGCAAUGCCGCGUGUGUGAAGAAGGCCUCGGUUGU
rnacentral:rRNA from 1 species